AGGGGGUGUGUGAACAUGUGUAUAUGCAUUUCUAAGCGGGCUUUCGCUUAUUUUUUAAGAACGAGCGCGGAUAUACAUAGCCUACAUGCACGUAUCCCUGUUUAAGUGUGUAAACAUUAGUACUGAGGGAAAUCCAGAGAGGUAGCUUGCUUGCAGUUGUAUGGUUGUAGUCGUUUUGGUAGUGAUGCAUUUCCUUUUGGGUACAUUUACCUUGCUGGCUAGCUCACAAACGGUGUGAAAGCAAAGGAAAGAGAAGGGAAGGAGGGGGCGGGGGUUUUAUGGACCUCACCGGUUACGGGACUCAAAGAAGCCUUGAUUCUGCACCUAUUUUUUGGAGGUGAGGACAAAACAAAAGAAAAAAAUUGAAGGAAAGGGCCUUGCGGACUGUUUGUGACGGGGCCCCCGACUCCGUCGCUAAUGGUCGGGUGAUCUCGACGACUGAAGGAGAAGCGGCAGAACAUUCUACUCAAGACCGGGGAUUCCUUCUUCAAGACAGAAAUAACACGAACCAGCAUUUUAGUGCUCAUUGAGCCGUGAUUGUUCUCUAGUAUUCGUCGGAGUCAGAUCUUCAAAUGCGACGAAAGGCUUAUAAAUAAAAAGGUGAACUGACUCAUGAAGACGAAGGAAAAAAGACAUGACUGAACAAUGUUUGUUGAUGGAGACCAAACUAGGAAAGAAAACGGAGCGAAACACAAAGGAUAAAAAGAAGGGCACUUAAGAAGAAUCAAAGUGGAGGCCAGAAAAAUUGAUCGCAACCAUCUAAGUGUAAUAAAGUAUAUAGUCAGAGGAAAAAGGACCAAAGACUUCCUUAUUUAUUUAUAUCCUAUUAUGGGACAUCCAGCAAAAACUAUUAAAACCAACAUGCAUACAUUCAGUAUUGAACAUCCUUUUUAGAAAUGGAUGGGCUUCAUGGAUUUUCUUUUUUCACCAAACAAGAAUGUCAUUUACCUAAACAUGAGGACCUAUGGCCCUGGAUUAAAACCAAGCUUAACAUUAAUAUCAAGUAUUAAUUGCACUGUAAAGUGUAGGGUGUACUGAUGCUAUAUCUGACACAUGAAGCUUGAUUCCCCCUCUCCCCUUUGAAAAAAUCUGAAAAAUUGGAUGCAAUACCAGAUUAUUCGGGCUCAAGAAUUGCAGUGACUGCCAUAUGGUCAGCAUCCGCUCCUGCGAUGAUGUGAACCCUUGUCACAACUUCUGUUUUCAUCUAAGAAUUAUUACAGCCACUGCUGCAACUCUCCUCUGUUGCUUCUGUGCCGUUGCUACUGUUGUAAACGUGAUUUUAAAUGCUCCUAUAGUGCCAAACUGCUACAGCCAUAUUUUGAUAAUUUCAACAUCUGCCUCUUCUGUGUCAGUGAUUGUAAGAAUUUAUCCAGUGGCUGUAACAGCAGUCUCAUUGUGUUUCCCCUUUAACUUUAAUUCAAGUCAUCGCUUCCACUUUUUUAAAGCUCUGAUCUACUUGCCAGUCUUUUGCUUCUACAGCAAAGACUUAUGAAGUUGAGCUGUCACACAUGUUCCAUAUUUACCUAUAACAGUGAUAGACUUUUCUUCUCUGGCAUUCCAAGCUACCAGUUCCUGCAGUUUUGGAUGCAGUGUAAAACAGACUAAUUAAACUGCAGCAACGGAAGCGGUCUUACCCAGUCCUGCAAAAUCCAAGAUAUAUAUACGUAUUGUUUUAUAUUUUUGAGUUUUGAAAAGUCGUGUAUAUUUUUAAAAUGCAGAAUUUUCCUGACACCGCUGCUUCUCCAGCUCCCCACCGUGGGUUUUCUAGUGUGACUGGUGCACGGGGGAGGAAUUCCUCUUAUCCACUCCAGCCGUCAGAACUUCUGAGCUCUUCACGAAUGCCAGACGAAUAUGCUGGUAUGCAGCAGCAAAAUCCUCAGACACAAAACCAACACCCAUCCCUCCACACAAGCCAGGCAGCCCUCAUGCGGGGUUAUGAGGCUAGAAACCGAGGAAGGGGGGCUGAAGGAGUCUUACAAGGUAACAGUAAACAUGGCAGCAAUGAUAACAACCCAUACCGAAAGGAAACAAUGGAUUAUUAUUUUUUGAUGAGUAGCAAAGAAGGACAGAGAAGAGGAAGUCAUGGAUUUGGAUAUGGUGUAGGAUUGGGGUUUCAAAAUUUAGAUGGACACGUGCCUCACCAGUACCGAUCUAACAGACCUGCUUCAGGUACUGCUUCUGGUGUGUCACAAUAUCCGAUGGACUAUAGUGUUGCUGCCGGAUCAACUGUCAAUAGAAGCAGUAGUACUGGAACGUUUUCCCCCUCUCACCAAUAUAGUAUGGCCCAGAGCCCUUCAGUAACAGGACCACCUGUGCGCCACCAACAAGCCCAGAAUUACCCUUCCCAUCAAUCUCUACACCAAGAGCAGCACCAGAGAGGUUAUCCCCUAUCUGGACAAAGACUGCCUUCUCAGUUCUCCAACUGCCCUCCACCAAAUGCAACAGCAGGGUCAGCAGGGAAGUAUAAUUCCUCCCCACAGAGAUACUAUAGUGGGGGAAAUGGUGGAAAGUGUAAAAUGAAUAACACAGCCAGUGCCAAUUCAAGUCCAUGUUCCAAUAGAAAUUCAACCAACCCAGCCAGUACACGGGCAUUUGAGGGGAUGGGGCAGGGUUAUCCCAGUUCAGAUUAUCCAUAUAAUUCCAACCUCUCCCAUUCACAUCGCAACCACCAGCAGAAUUUGGGACCAAGCUAUGAGACUUCACACAAAAUGCACCCCUCCAUUUUGUUGAACCAACCAGGGCUUUCUUACCCUAAACAUCUCCCAUGUUCCACAUCAUCCUCCAAGUCUUCCACCUCUUCUACUAUUCCAUCUAUACAUCAGCUUUCUUCUCAUGAAGUAACAAAAUCCCCAAUGCAUACUCAAACCCAACAGCCUCAUUUCCAACAAAACUUCAGUCCAAUUUCUAACCCAUCUCCAGCUGCCUCCCUAGUCCAGUCACCCAGCUGCAGCUCUUCUCCAUCUCCACUGAUGGGUAUUUCAGACGGCCAGGGAAACUCCACUGCACCCCCUGCACACCAACCAUCAUAUUCUCUUUCAAACCUCAGAAACAACCACAGUCAUAAUAGGCUGUUACAGGUAAUGCCCCAGCAUAGUCCCACACCAAAUUCUAACAGCAGCAACAGUAGUUGUGGGAGCAGUGGGCAUGUAAACACUACUAGUCUGAAUUCAAGUUCGGGUGGUAAUCAUUCUGUUUUAACAAGAAGGGGAGUGGGGCAGAGGGGAAGCGAUCAGUGUACAUCAUCUUCCCACUACGCAAUUUCUCCACUUGAAAAACAAAUCCUGGACCCUGGUACCAACAGUCUGAAUGCUUUGACUUCACAGGUAGCCAAUUUGCCUAAUACAGUGCAGCAUGUGCUACUCUCUGACUCUCUUUUGCCAAACAACAAGGGCAAAGAUAAUGGACACCAGAUGCAGCCAUCACUGCAUUCUUCGCCCACAAGUCAGCAAAGGACUAUAAGUAAUAGUUCAACUAGAAGAGGAGAAGGUGGUAGAAAAAUAGAUAGUCAUGAUAUAAAUUCUGAAGGUGGAACUGAUGAGGAACACAUGACUGAACUGUCUAGAGAGGCCCAAGUUGAAUGUGACGAGCAUCCUUUGGAAGGGGAAGAUGAGACGAUGAGGCAAUUGAGUGAAACUAACAGUGUGGAUGGACUAACUGGUGGCAUCCCUAUGCAUCAGAAUCAAGCUAACUCCCUAGCUGAACAUGAUCGUCGGGGGUCUCCAUCUUAUGUGGAUAUGGAGGUAUCCAAAAAACAGAAGAAAACACGGUCUUCCCAGAGUCUCUCUCAAUUAAAAAGGACUGGUUAUAAAAUAUAUGGUUCAAUAUCCCCCUCUUCCCUUUCUUCUCACAUUCCAUCUGAGGGCCCUAGUACAGUCCAAGUCCCUCCAUGUCCCUCUCCUACACCCUUUACUAGUCUGAAGUCCCCUGCACCAUCACCCAUCCUCACCUGUUCAUCUCAGUUUAACUGUCUUGAAGAGCCUGAAGUUCCUGUUGUGAUUCCUACAAAUGAACUCAGAGGGAGAGAAUGGAAAGAAGAUAGUGAUAAAACAAAGAAAAAAGAGAAAAGUGGUAAGUCUCAAAGAGAAGAGAGCCAUGAUAUAAUGGAAAUGCAAACUAGGAGGAACAAUGAAGGUGAAAUUCAGUGUCCGCUCUCCUUCAACAACCAAGAGGAUAAAGGAGGAGAGAAAAAACAGGGAGUGCUUCUGGGUUCUGAGGAAACCCACAUGGAAGGAGGGGUUGGGGUGAUUGUUUCUACUCGUUCAGAGGUAAUUCAGUCUGAAACCGUGUCUGAACAACCACAAGGUAUAUCUGCAUCGCCACAUGGACCAGAUCUAACUAACAAUCCAGGAAUUCCAAACUAUUGCCCUAACAGGGAGAACCACUCUUAUAGUUCAUUCAGGGAUUCCAGCAGUCACAAUGGAGAAGGUAAAAUAAGUGUGCCUACUAAAGCUGCAACACAUGGAGCAAAACUGCCUGGUAGGCACGCUACAUCCCCUCACCACCUCCAACCUGUUAGUCAAAAGUCCCCUUACAGAUUCUCUGAGUCACUCCAUGGGAGUUUGAACAAUGACAGAGUUGGGCUGAGUGAAGAUGGAAUGGUAGCAAAAUUAAAUGACCAAGCUUACCAACAACCUCCACAACAUAUUGCAGGACUUCAAAAAAAGAUAGAGACAGCUGAAGUUGAAGGUCAGAGUAUGAGAAGCAUAGCUUUAGAGUCUGGAAGGGGACCUGAUAAUCCUGUUCAACAACAAACAUUUCCAAGUCUUUUGCAAGAAGUCUUGCAAGGUUACCACACAGAAAAACGCUAUAGGUAUCCUGAAAACUUAGCUCAACAGUCGCAAACCCGCAGUACUCCUCAAUUUCAAAAUAUGCCUUAUCAAUACCCCCAUUCCAGGCAUCCUAACUCCAUGACUGAAAGUGUCAGAAACCAUUUUUUGUCUCAGAGUAGAAUGAGUAUGAAUUGUCAUAUCCCUAAUGAAUCCUCCUCCCUAGGAAAGACCUAUUCAAAUCAGAGGCGUGAAGGUGUGAUUAACAUGGACCAGGAUACUGGUCGUUCCUGGUGUUCUGGAGGACCUGGAUCUAGGGAAAUUCAAUGGGGUUCUUUUGACAAGAGUAAAAUGAUAGAUUCCCCAAAUCAUCAAGGAAAUAGUAUGCAGCAGUCUUCAGAACUUUCUCUACGGCCCCAUUCAAAGAACAGUAACUCAUCUGACUAUGCCCGUCCUACCAGGAAACCCUCAUCAAAUGAAUUGAACUCCACUUCUGCAGUGCAGCAGUUGCUGCUCAAAGAAGCUGCACCAGCAGAAGGGAAUGAAUCAUCUGUGGGACAAGUUCAGCCUCAUACACCAUCAUCAUCACCAUUGCCCUCUCUCUCAUCCUUGGAGCGACGCUCAGUCAUAUGUGAUCUUUCACCAUCUCCUCUGACCACACCUGAAAGGGACAGAUCUUCAGAUAAAAGAGAUAAAGUGAGUAUUCUACCACAAAUUGGGUCUUCCGGAUCUUCUGUUAUUCAGCAAUCACUUUCUGCUUCAGUGUUAAAUCAAGAGGACAGCCUCAGAGAAGAAAAGGUGUAUAAAGCAAUGUUGAGGGAGGAGGCACUGAAGAUUAUUAAGGAGGACCAAAAUUCUAAAACGUGUAAUUAUAGUCAUUCCUUCACUAAGGAAACUACUAUUCAGCCUCAAAACAGAAUGCAGCAACAUUCUGGCCCUCACCAGUUGGACACGAUUCCUGACCCUCCAAGGGCUUUUAGUGGAGGGAAGGGGAGUGUUAAAACUGGUAAAAUGGCCCCUGUCCAAUCCCAACAAGCCCCACAACAACUCAUACCCACCCAUAAUCCUCUGUCUUCACCACCAUCAUCAAGAUUUCAAGUAUACUUCCAAAGCUUAGAUGAGUCAGGUCAUCACUCUGCUGGUGUAGAUGGUUUUGGAUUGAGAGAUUCAGGGGAGGGGACUGUCAAAAUGAGUCCUCGGCACCACUACCAACUGUCACAUCUCAAUUUGCCUUCAUCUCAACCAAAAAUCUCCCAAUCCACUAAUAAAUUGCAAAUGUAUCCCCACUCUCUCUCUCUCCAGCACUUACACAGUUUAAAUGACAGACUUGACUGGGGCUCAAAUAAUAACCAGCCAUCCUCUCAGGAUUUAAUGAUGUCCCCUAAUUCAAGCCGAAAUCAACACAAUGCAGGAAUUAGAUCCACAACUGAUGUACUAGCUAAUCCACAGCUACCACCUCAUCAGGGCAGUUACUAUGACGUCAAAAUGUGGGGGCCAUCAGUAUCUGGAAGAGAGAACAAAGGGAUAAUGGAGGGAGAUGUCUACCGAAGAAAUGAACCUUGUACUUCUAUUGGUCCCCCUGGGUCAGUUGCCUUGCCCUCAAAGCAACCAGUGGUCUCCAAAAAUCUUGAAUCAAGCCCAUCAAGAAUCGUUACAGAAGAUGUUGUCAAAUCAUUUCACCCAAUGUCUACACCUAUCAAGCAAUCUGAUUGUAGCAGCAUUAACAGUGGUAGUGGAAAUAGUGGUAACUUGGGACCUCAGGGGAAAGCUAAAAUGGGGGGUUCUGUGGACACAAACCCAUUAAUUAUGAGAAGAAGGGUACGUUCUUUCAUCUCCCCAAUUCCUGCAAAAAGGCAGCACCAGGAUGUAUCCCAACAACAGCAGCAAAGAGGUGUUUCAAGUAUGAAUCCAACUCUUUUAUCCAACUCUGACGUUAGACACAGUGUAGAUACUGACUCAUUCAGUCCAGAUGUGCCUAAUCACAAAACGGUCAGUUCCAAUGCUUCUUUAGUGUCUCCUUCACCCUCUUUAGGAAAAAUGGAUGCUUUGCCACCUAGAAAGGGAAGGGGCUUGAAGCUGGAGGCAAUAGUACAAAAAAUUACACCCAGCAUUAAACCAACAAGUGAUGACAGUGAGAGUAAUACUGAUUCAACUUCAGAUAAUCUUUCCAGCUUGUCUCAUACAGAAAUGACAUGCAUCUCGGACCUGAAGGACCACAACUCCAGUGUUGGGGGAAAUUUCUCAAGAAUGGAAACUGGCAGUGGGAGUUGCUUACCGUACUUAAAUGAAGGUAUCUCAUUGGAAGAAAUGAUGUCUUACAGGGGGGUUGAGGAGACGGGGCCUAUGCCUCCCACUGCAUAUCAGUGUGACCCCCAUCAGGACAUACAGAUUCUCAAAUGUGAUUUGACAGAAAAGCCAACCAGGGCAGCUGUUGGGGAUUUGGAGUCUGUAUUAGACUUUGGGAUUGGGGUGCCAGGAGUUAAAAAGUCUGAAAUAGACUCAGCAGGAGAUGGGGAGAAAGAUGAACUAUCCCCUGAUUUUACCCUAUUAGGACCAUUGCCCCCACCCCCUCCAUUACCUCGUCCUGUACAAGCGUCUUCCCCUCCAUCAUCCUCUGCUUUGUCAGAUAUCCAACACUUCACUACAACUUAUCAGCAACUAGAGACUCGUAGAGAACAUUCAGCAGCUACUCUUCUGAGGCAAAAACUUGAAGAGAGUGAGAUGUGUUUGGGGUUGGAUGAUUAUUCUGGGAGGGACUACCUUGGGACUAAGUCACCCCACCACAACCAGAAUCAAAGCAAUUGCACAUUAUCCAUUCCCCCACAUAGCCAGCUUCAUCAGCAGCACAUAUCUGCUGGGACCAUUUCUUCAGUGACUGGCCAGUCACAGUAUACCCAAAUAAAUCCCUCAGAGAAUAUGGUGCCUAAAGGAUAUUUUCCAUCCGGGAAGAAAAGGGGACGACCAGUGGGUAGUGUGAAUAAGCAAAAGCGUGUUCAAGGACAGUCACAAAAUGUGUCCCUUAAUGCCUCCCCUGUUGCUCAAAUGCCUACACAUGUUUCUGCUGCCACACCUCAGGCAGUAGUGCAAAGUAUCAGCCCGACAAUUCCUAUAAAUAAAACCAACUCUGAAGACAAAACCACUACGUCUCUUACUUCUCUUACUGUAACUCAGGCAGCAAAAGAGGAGAUCGAGAGUGAAGAGAGAGAGCCAGAAAUGGAAUCAAAGCCUCACAAACAAAGAGGAAGAAAGAAGGAACACGUGACUGGAGCAGAUGAAGUGGUGAUCAUGCCGACACAGAGGAGAAGGGUUGUAGAUGUGUCUGAAGAAGAGGUAAAAUCGGCAGGAAUAAGAGGAAACAUGAGUCCUAGUGGUGGUUUUCCUACUUGCAGGAAGCCAGUUUUUGCUCCAUACGUUCAUGUAGAAAAAAAGUUUGAGGAGGUGGGAAAUGUAUGCACCAUUGUGAAUGCUGAAGAUGAAAAGAAGAAGGGAGAGAAUGGAGAAGAGAGGGGAGGAAGGUUGGCAGGAAAAGAAGUGGGAGGAGUGUCUGUUGCCCCUGUAAUUUCAACACUGACCUCUCAGUUGACUAGGAAAGAUGUAGAAAGGGUGAGGGUAAAAGAGAAGAGAGGCACAGAAAGGUUAAAUGCUUCCCACAUUCAUUCUAGUCCAACAGAGAAGGUACUUCCUUCCUCGGAAUAUGUUAUUUCAGGAUCGGUGAUGUCUGAGAUUGAUACCUAUGGUCAUCUUCUCUGCUGCUUGUGCAAAAAAUGGGCUAACUACAAAGAUCUUGGUGACCUCUACGGACCUUACUAUCCUCCUGAGUAUGCCACAAGGUUUCCUAGGACUCCCUCUGUAAUCAGGCAGAGCCUUGGGGGAACCAGUGUCGGCACUGUGGGAGCAUUGGCAGGAGCAGCUGAAUUUGAAUCAGCAAAACAGGAGAUUACACCAGUAGCAUUCCAAACCUACGAGCCUAUCACAGACCCCGGUUUCACAGGAAAUCAAGCCACAGACUCACUGGCUGCGACAUCAACGGACACAGAAGGUGCUGUGAGUGCUGAGGAUAGACGUAGUCACUGUAGCAACAACAACGAAGGAAAUGAAGAUUGGGAUCUGACACAAAAACUGACAUCCACUGGUGAGGUGUUGAAACAGGAAGAGCAACCAAAUGAAGUCUCACAAAUGCUACAAAGCGAACAGCACAUAGAGAACACACAGAAAAGACCACAACACAGAAAACUUACUUCUCAUCCAAGAUUUAAAAGGCGACACAAAUCCAGUGAAGAUUUACCCAAAACUGGACCCACCAACAGCAAAGCCUUACUGCCUUUUCAGCCUCCUCCACCUCUACCACUUCCUAGCCAAGAUUUCUCUGAUCCUUCAGCACCAUUGUCCCUGCUUCCUCAUGUUCCCCUGGACCCAGAUGAAUUGUGGGUACACGAGGGAUGUAUAAUCUGGGCCAGUGGGGUGUAUCUCGUCAAUGGAAGGCUCUAUGGUGUGCAAGAGGCACUAGAUGGUGCCAGAGAUACUAGCUGCUCCCAUUGUAUGGCAAUGGGUUCAACACUCGGCUGCUACAGUAAAGGCUGCACACUAAGCUACCAUUAUUUGUGUGCUACGGAGGCAGGCUGUGCUCUGAAUGAAGACAACUUUUCACUGCGGUGUCCAAAGCACAAGUUGUCUGUCUUCCUCUUUGGAAUAUCACCUAGUUCCCUCAGAACCAUCGGCCAGUGAAGCCUGUGUAUCCAGAGCAAUCAGAGAGAGGCUGAGGAAGAGAAAUAAUUCAACACUGAAGAGACUGGACUGACUACACAUCGGAGGGACAUUAAAACCAAUGAGGGGAAUCAAGACAACAAACUUCUAUGAGCGAGAAAUUAUGACAGCCUGGAACAAGAUAAGGGGAAUAUUUUUUAUAAAAGACCAUUUUCUGAAGAAUGGGGGGGGGGAGUUUUUUUUUUUUUGUGCUAAUGCAAAAGAAAUUCCAGAAUAAUGUCAUCAUCAAUGUAAGAACAAAUGAUGAAAAAUGGAUAAAGAUCUAAGGAACUGAGGAGACUGAAUGAGAUUGGGGCAGAAAGCAAAUGACUGAGGAAUGAAAAAAUGUACCGACAGAGACCCACACACUGACACUCGGAAAAAGAGAAACGUUCAAGUUCAACUCCCUUUCAAAACAAAACAGAAAACAAUUUUUGUGAAAUCUGUAGGAAAAAAAAACUGUUGGACUGUUCCACCUUUUCAUCAUGACUACCAUUUCAUUUAUCUUUCAAACCCAAACACUACACAUAUAAGUGGAGCAGAGGGAGUUGGGAAUGAGUGUGGAUAAGGACUGCCAGAGCAUGAAGAAGGGAAAGUAGUUGAGCAGUAAAACAGAAGAGGAGCAGUAUAUUAUUACUUUGAUUCUCAUCAUUUAAUUUCCAUUGGUAUCGUUUCCAUUUUCAAGAUUAUCACCAUGGUCUACUUAAUUCUGACUGGGUGCUUCUCAGUUUUAAAUGAAUUAGUAAACUGAGAUUGAUUGACUACUUUUUCCCCUAAUGUUACUUGUUACAAAAUAAUGCACCACAAUUCAGUUGUCUUAGUGGCCUCUGAGAUUAAUAUUGCCUUGGAAGAUGCUGGCUUGUUGCCUGUUUGAAUUGUGUGUGCGUGUGUGUGCGUGUGUGUGCGUGCGCGUGCGUGUGCGAGACUCUACCUGGAUGUCCAUGAUCCUUUCAAAGGUUCUCCUGUUUUCAUUCUGGAGUUUUUACAAAGCAGACAGAACAGAACAUUUUUACGGAGAAUUGCUCUCAGAUCAGAUGAGUGAUGUAAUUUUUGAGAAAGAGGAUAGAGGGAAUAAUGUAACUGUACCCACAUACUGUAUUGACCCUAAUGGGUAUCUCAACUGACAAGAGUAAAUGGGCUAAAGAUCAAAUCAAACGAAAAGUCUUUUUUUUUUUUUUUUGCAGUAACGUGGUUCAAUAGACAAAGAGACAACAACCUGUGAGUGUGAGAAAAGCAUUCAACCAUCUUACAAAAACAUCAGUAUAAACUCGAGUGUACGUUGAUCUGUAUUAUUAUAGUCAUUAUUUCUAUUGUUUUUUUAUUCUGGUUAAAAAAAGUGACAAUAUCAAAAUGUUGUAUUGGAACUGCCUUGUAAAUAUGUACAUGGAUUAUAAAAAUGACCAAAAUGGGGGAAAAUGCAUGUGAUCAAUGUCUUUACUAUGGACCACUUUUGUCUUUAAGCUGUGUUUAGUUACAAUAUGAAUAUAUUAUAUUAAUUUGUUUAUUCUAUUUAGUGUAUAUCCAUACCUCAGUGUCUGACAUUUUCUGUGUGUCGUCAUUGAGGCUACCAGUUUUUUUUUCUUUUCUUUUCUUUUUACUUUUCACAACACAUUCACUUUGAGGAAGUUAGUUGUUUCUGGGGAAAAAAAUAAAAGAAAAAAGAGGAACAGUGUGAGGGUGUACUUGAGACAAGAAAACGUUAUAGAGCGGUGCACACCACUUCCGAAUUCACUCAAGUUAAACAAGUUAAAAUCCCCGAUGCACAGUGACAAGGGGUUUUUGUAUGGAACCAGAAACAUCUACUUUUUCUUUUAUACACAUUACUUAUUAGCAAUAUGGGAUGGCUGCUGGCUGCAGUGUGUGGCCUAAUGUGUUUUGGAUUUCUGAUUGAAGCCGAACUCUCAGUCACCGUCCAGCAUCCAAUCAGAGUGGCUCUGGCUGGAGAAACACUUCCACUUACGUUUUCUGUGACAGUGCCGAAGAACCAAAGCUCAGACAAAUUUGUCUGCUGUCGUGAUAUCGACAAUGAAGUGUUAUACACUUCUUCCAUCUCAGAAACAAAAACGAUUUCGUGGAACCUGACUGUUUCCAAUAGGGCAGAUUCGGGAGAAUACAGCUGUGAGUACAAGAAGAUAAGAGCCUACUGGGUUGUCCUAGUGAGAGAGGUGGGAUAUAGGGAGUCAGACUCAAGAACUAAUGCACUUCUCCUCCUGAAUGUGAUUCUGAGUGUGGGACUUUUCCUCUUCAGUUUCACUGGGUCCAUAAUCCUUCUUAAGGACUACAGGAAACAGCUCAAACUGGGGGAUGAGAGAACAGAAGAAGGGGGAGGGGAAGGGGAAGGGGAAGGGGAAGGGGAAGGAGUGACUGAAGGGGGAGAUGAAGAUGCCACAAACUCUGUAUACACAGCUCUUGAACAUGGGACUUCCUCAAUUUACAAUGUGCUAGACCCAUCAGCAAAAGACAGCAGCCAAAAACGUGUGCAGCAGCAAGAGACAAAUAAACCACGCGUGACUCAGAACUCACAGAAGGAAGAUGGAAUAUUUGAAUCUGUCUAUGAAAACUUUUGAUGCACUCUUGCCUUUUCUUUCUAGUUUCUUCUUUUCUUGCCCUCUCUCCUUUUCAUCUUCGUUUUCAUUGCUGCAAUAUAUCCCUACUUCAAAAAAAAAAAAACAUGUUUCCAAAUCUCUA